rnacentral:tRNA from 2 species
GCGCCCAUAGCUUAAUGGAUAGAGCAUCUGACUACGGAUCAGAAGGUUGGGGGUUCGACUCCCUCUGGGCGCGCAA